UACGUAGGGGGCAAGCGUUGUCCGGAAUCAUUGGGCGUAAAGCGCGUGUAGGCGGCCAGGUAAGUCCGUUCUGAAAGCCCGGGGCUCAACCCCGGGAGGCGGAUGGAUACUGCUUGGCUCGAGUCCGGAAGAGGCGAGUGGAAUUCCCGGUGUAGCGGUGAAAUGCGCAGAUAUCGGGAGGAACACCAAUGGCGAAGGCAGCUCGCUGGGACGGUACUGACGCUGAGACGCGAAAGCGUGGGAGCAACAGG
rnacentral:rRNA from 1 species